rnacentral:tRNA from 1 species
CGUGGCUCAGUUGGUAGAGCAUUGCACUUGCAAAGCCAAGAGUCGUGGGUUUGAUUCCCACUG